UACAGGGAAAAGGCGUAAUGACAACGUAUUGGAUAAAAGGUUACAUGAUAGAUAUAAUAAUGUCAGAUACCAGUAAAUCGGAUUUAUCACAAGACUCAAGUAAUAUCGUUAAUGGUUGCCUAAACCCGUUUUAGAACCAAGAGUGACCUGUACAGACGGUAUUAAAAGGCACUAAGAUGAUAUGAGGUAUAACGACAGUGAACCUGAAACCUGCAAACUGCGAAAAAAUCUCUCAUUGAAGAUAAGCACAAUUUCAAUACUUUCGUCAUCAUUAUCUAAAUGUUCCAUCUUAAAAAUGUGAGUUUUUUUCCGUCUGUAAAUUUGUAAAUGUUUAGUAUCGUACAUUUUUAGGCGGUUUGAAUGUUUAUUUUAUCAAAAAACCUGCGAAGAAUACUGUAUCGAUUGGUAUUUUGUAUUGCAAAUAGAAAUUGUGAUUGUAGAAUAUUUUAUAUUCUAUUAAAACAUUUAAAAGUGUUA